rnacentral:rRNA from 1 species
CCUACGGGAGGCAGCAGUGGGGAAUAUUGGGCAAUGGGCGCAAGCCUGACCCAGCAACGCCGCGUGCAGGAAGAAGGCUUUCGGGUUGUAAACUUCUUUUCUCAGGGACGAAGAAAGUGACGGUACUUGAGGAAUAAGCCACGGCUAACUACGUGCCAGCAGCCGCGGUAAUACGUAAGGGGCAAGCGUUAUCCGGAUUUAUUGGGUGUAAAGGGCGUGUAGGCGGGAGGGCAAGUCAGAUGGGAAAUCUCAGGGCUCAACCCUGAGCCUGCAUUUGAAACUGUGUUUCUUGAGUGCUGGAGAGGCAAGCGGAAUUCCGGGUGUAGCGGUGAAAUGCUUAGAUAUACGGAGGAACACCAGUGGCGAAGGCGGAUUGCUGGACAGUAACUGACGCUGAGGCGCGAAAGCGUGGGUAGCAAACAGGAUUAGAUACCCUGGUAGUG